ensembl:lncRNA
AAUAAUAUGGCAUUCUGACACCUUUCCCCCCUCCUCCUUGCAUCCUGUGAGAAGGAGAUUUUUGCCUCUUACGGUGCUGAUGACUUCUACCUGCCCAUGGGAGGAGGGCCCUGGGCUUUGGGGACAGGAGGGGGCCCAGCUGAGGGUGGGCUUGGAAGAUGUAUGAGGAAGGAGAUGCAUCAGUUUGACUAAAGCUGAGCAAAUCCCCUCUUUCCCAGCGCUGACAGAGGGGUGGUGUAUGUUUCACUUCUUUUUUUUACUUUUUAAAAGCAAAAUGUAGGAGGAAAGUGGCGUUCCUGGAGAGAUACGUUCAUAUUUCAUCUUAUUUUGGCAGGGGGAUGGGAAGGAGCUGCAGAUGGGUGCAGUGGCAGCGCACCUCUUACAGCACAGAGCAGCCCCAGAGCUCACCGCCAUGGCCAGCAGCAACAAAAGACACCACUGAUAUUUUCAUAAUCCUUUCCCCCACCUCCUCUUUUAUCCCAGAGCUGAAAAAAACAGCAACAGAAAGAUGCUUUACUGUGCAGGGUAAACCCUGAGCCACAGAACUGUGGGGUCAUGGGUGGGAGAGCUCACCCCUUUCCUGCGUAGCCUCAAAUGGGAUUCUUUUUAAUAAUGGUUUGGUAAUGGGAGUGUUCCUAUUUGCAUGCUGCAGCACAUUGAGGUUUUCCAAAGGAGAUGCAGAGAGGGGGUCUCAGUUGUGCUCAUAAAGUCUGGGAAGUCAGAAAAUUCAGAUUUGACCUCAGGGAAAUGAGGAAGAGGUGGAAUCCAUUAAGAAGUCGUGGCCAAAUCACUGCACUGAGUUUAAAAGUUGUGUUCAAUCAGUUGGUGGUGGUGGCUUUGGGAAAGGGCUGGAAGUCAGUUUUUGGUGUUAAUGGUUUUUCUUUCCCAGAGGCAAUCUGAUCUGAUGUUCUGUUUGUCCCACAGCACAGUGCAGCCCGGCAGCUUCACUCGGGCUGCAAGAGAGUUGGAGGUCUUCAGCCAGGCACCUCUGGUUUGCUCGGAGGACUGCCUGAUACCCACUGCCAGUUGCAUGGAGUGAAGGAGGUUUGUGUGUAGAAUGUCUGACACCGAUACAGGUGAGGAGGGAAGCAGUGCCUGGAGGUGCUGAGGUUGGUGAAGACUCUGCAGGAGGGGAGCAGCGCCGGGAGCGGAGCCCUCCCUGCAUCACCUGCACGUUCUCAUCUCGAGAUCCGCGGGGAACGCGAAGAAGCCGCCUUAGGAUGCGGGCAAAGCGUUGGGCAUCGGGAUCUGCUCCGGGCAUCCCCAGGAAGGGGCGGGAGGAGCUGUGUGUGCAUUCCAAGGGCUGCACUGCCACCUCCAGGUCUGCACAGCCCCACACAGCUGCGGCUCCGGCGCCGUCCCCGUUCAGCGCUGCAGAGGGGUUGGAGAGAGGAGCGCUCAACUAUUUGCGAUGAUUUCUUUUUUUCUUUCCUUUUUAAUUGUAGAUGAAAGACCGCACGAUGUCUCUUUCCGUAUGAAUUUCUCAUUGCAGAAUGAAGGCGCAUCGAUGUGAGAAACCGGGCGUUUCUAUGAGAUGACGGCAUUGUUUUUUUUCUGCCCUGCCAGAACAGUGCUGUCCUCCUCCUGCAUGGCCAUCUCCUCGCCUAUGAGCCUCGCAUUGCUGCGGGGCAGCUGCGUGCGGGGUUGCGUUGGCCCCGCGCACCGGGAGGUGGCACUGCAGCCGCAGCUUUGCGUGCCUUUGCACAGGUAAAGUGUGUUUUACUGGGAAAACAGUGGGAAGGAGCAAAACGUGGGAGCGUGGAGCAAGGAGGGUUUCCCUGGCACUUGUUUUCCACCUUUGUGAUGCCCUGGGAAAAGUUCUAAGCAAGCAUUUUCCUCCCCAAGUUCUACUCUGCAAAGUGUGCUCCUCAAGCAAAGCACAGAGAGAAGGGAUCAAUCUAGUGCUCAUAGGACUCCGCUCAUCACUUUCAGCUCUUGCAUAGCCCUUUUAUGCAGAUGGGAAUGGCUUUCUGCAAGAGCAACGGCCAAAGACCAUUGUUGGAGGGUGGCAUCCACCCAAAAAGAAAGGAAACCUGGGCUCACUGCUAGAGCAGACGUGGGAAAAUCAACACCUUGGCAACAUGAGCACACUGCAGAUCUGGAAACAGCACUAAACCUGUCCUGGCUGCACAUGGGAAAAGUGCUGGGAGUCACCCUGAAACAUGAGAAAAUACUGCAAAUGGAAAAUACAUUUGCACUUCUUUUGUGUCAUAAGAUAAAUCAGAUCUACACUUCACUAAGCACAACUUAUCUAUGAGACUCAGUGCUGCUACGUGAAAUAAAAAACAAACUAACUAAAAAAAGGGCAAAAUUCUAUUACAAAAGAAGGAGGCCAGCGUGUGGUCAGAAAUCAGCAGAAGGGUCUGACUGCAGCCUUAAAGGGGAUUUCUGCUUUGCAAGAUCUCUCUCUGAAACCCUUCUCUGAAGUUUGUUUCACACAAGAACUCCCUGCUCAAUGCUGCUGCCUGCUCACAGGGACACACAGGGAC